GACGAACGCUGGCGGCGUGCUUAACACAUGCAAGUCGAACGGAAAGGCCCUGCUUUUGUGGGGUGCUCGAGUGGCGAACGGGUGAGUAACACGUGAGUAACCUGCCCUUGACUUUGGGAUAACUUCAGGAAACUGGGGCUAAUACCGGAUAGGAGCUCCUGCUGCAUGGUGGGGGUUGGAAAGUUUCGGCGGUUGGGGAUGGACUCGCGGCUUAUCAGCUUGUUGGUGGGGUAGUGGCUUACCAAGGCUUUGACGGGUAGCCGGCCUGAGAGGGUGACCGGCCACAUUGGGACUGAGAUACGGCCCAGACUCCUACGGGAGGCAGCAGGGGGGAAUAUUGCACAAUGGGCGGAAGCCUGAUGCAGCAACGCCGCGUGCGGGAGGACGGCCUUCGGGUUGUAAACCGCUUUCGCCUGUGACGAAGCGUGAGUGACGGUAAUGGGUAAAGAAGCACCGGCUAACUACGUGC
rnacentral:rRNA from 1 species